GCUCUAUUCGUCUAUCGGUUAGGACGCAAGAUUUUCAUUCUUGAAAGGGGAGUUCGACUCUCCCAUAGAGUA
rnacentral:tRNA from 1 species